rnacentral:rRNA from 1 species
UACGUAGGGGGCAAGCGUUGUUCGGAAUUACUGGGCGUAAAGGAGCUCGUAGGCGGUCUGUCGCGUCGAUCGUGAAAACUUGGGGCUUAACCCUGAGCUUGCGGUCGAUACGGGCAUGACUGGAGUUCGGCAGGGGAGACUGGAAUUCCUGGUGUAGCGGUGAAAUGCGCAGAUAUCAGGAGGAACACCGGUGGCGAAGGCGGGUCUCUGGGCCGAUACUGACGCUGAGGAGCGAAAGCGUGGGAGCGAACAGG